rnacentral:ncRNA from 1 species
UACAUUUGCAACUGCGAAACGUCGCAUACAUAAAAAUCAUUAAAAUAAUAUUGGCAUG